CCUAAAGCUAGAUUUAAAGAAAAAAUAAAUAAAUACAUACAUUAUUGUAUUAAACCAUAGAGGAUAAAAAUGUUAUAGAUAAAAUAUUGUGACAUAAUGAGUGCCGCAUAGUUGGAGAAUUUGAUUAUACCAUUAUAUUUAUUUUCUUGCUGCAAAUACGUGAUUCUGUUUUUUAAUAAUGCAUCGCGACUGUGCAACAAUAUUGUUUUAAAAGGAAUGCCGUACAAUAGCCUACAAACGGACCACAUUCAGAUACAGAAUAUAUUAGCCUCUGAACAAAUGACUCAUCAAUAUCUGCAAGAAACGUUUAGUACAUCUGCAUGUCAUAACAUUCAGACUUAAAGAAAUUAGAAAGCUUCAUGAAGUGCUAAUUCAUGCAACAUAUGUGAAAGUCUAAAUGAACCUAACACGUGUCACCAGAGUGGAUCUUUGAAGAACUGUCAGCAUUUUUCCCUAUUGAAAGCAGAAGCGAAUAUAUGCAAAUUACAUGUGCGGUUAGCGAUUUGGCAAAUAUUGAUCACAAUAUAAACGAUCAAUCCAAAGUACCUUCGCCCUUUAAUAGUCUCUGAAUUCAUAUUUCAGAGGAUUUUAUUUUAUUGUCAACACAAUUAUUUUAAAAAAAUAAUGCCGUUUUCAUUUAUUUUUAAAUGGUGGGAAGAGGUAAUGGUUGCAAUCAGGGAUAGACAAAUCUCCCUGAUUAACUGCCGCAUUUUAUUCAAAUUGCUGCUAUAAAAUUCAGAACAAUUCGCCUGUAACGAUUAUGGACUGAGUUUAUUUUGGGAGGUGGAAUACAUUGGAUAAAGCAUAAAUUAUCCUCUAAUUAUACACUAGUGUCGCUUCAAUUAUCCUCUUAUCAAAAAUGGUUGUUUAAAUGCAGCGUUUAGUUUCAAUUUUCUCCCCUUCUACAAGAACUUCAUACCUUGCUAUUAUUAUUAGGGUUAUUAUUUACUGAGGGAUUUAAAACUGCACAGCUAGCCAGGACAACCAUUUCCCAAGACGGACUAAAGCGAAAGCAUUGAAACUGUAACAACAAAAAAGCGUUAAGUCUUAAUUUUGAAAACAUUUUCUUUUUUUCUUUUAUCUCCCAAGCAAAAGGGAGAAAAUAGGAUAUCAUUUGGAUCUGUUUGGGAGACUACCGAAUAAGAGAUGCAAAAUUGAUCACAAAUCAGUGGUAGAAAACGAGUUUCAUGUCUGCUACUUGGAUAACUCACUGAACAACAACCAUUGAAGAAACAUAAUGGAAGAGCAACAAGAGGCUUCAUGUUGAUGCUGCAGCAGAAGAUGGUCAGAGAAGUCUGCAGAGCCAUCCUGGUGCUAUUAGAGUUGUUGCUAAUAAUAGGUGUUUCAUCGCAAGAAGAUCAAUCAUGUUGAAUUUUCUAAGGAAUGGCUUCAGAUCUACAUCUGUCCCAAUGGAUCAAAUUACACUUUUGUUUUUAGCUGCAUUACUUUGAAAUUGGUUGCCCUUUUUUUACGUAUGUGUCAGUGGGCAGCUAAACUGAUUUUCAUUUCAAUCUCUUUUCAGCUGAAUAUGUAAAGAUUUGAAAUGCAUUGCAUGUUACUGUAUUAUGUAUGGCUUUUAUCGCCAUCCAAUAAAUAUUCUUUCCUUUUAAGUAUCCAGAACUAUUUGACUGCAUCUACCACACAUGCUGUUUCAUUGCAAAAAAGCAAAACCAAAUGCAGGUUAACCAACAAUGAACCACAAUGCUGAUUCCAUCCUAUUUUCUUAAAUAACAAACUGUAAAAUGACAUCUCUAGAUUGAUAUUUCUAAAUAGGCAUCCAUACCCCUUGAACCAAACUGAUAUUUGGCAGUUGUGGGGUGCAAUAUCUUAAAUUUGGUGUCACUUUUUGUGCUCUUUUUUGUGCUCUUCUUUUUCAAAAAGUCUUUAAUUAACUCCCAUUUAAAAAAAAAUAACAACUCUUGUUGGUAAUACAAAACUAAAACCAAUCAUUGAAGUAAUGACAUUAAGCACUUUGUUUCUCAUUCUUGUACCAUUAAUGGGGAUCAUUCUCCUUUUUAAAUAUGAGAUGAUUGAAGACUAAAGUAAAUUACCUGAAACUCUGGCCUUCUAUUUUUUUAUUUCUUUAUAAAUACAGUACAGUAGUCUCUGCGUAUAGGAACACCUCCUAAGAGAACACUUUGCCUAAGAGAACACCCUUGUGGUGAAACUGAUUUUUCCCAUUGUAAAUGCUCUGCCUAAAGGAACUGGAACUUCUCUUAAAAGAACACAUUCUUGACACAGAUAGCAGUUCGUUCACAACUUGUAUAGUACUGUUUUGUAACCUGAUAACUAAUCAUCAUCAAACUGGUUUAUUAAGUCUUUUCAAAAGCGACUUGUCAUCACGAGAGGCACACUGAUUGGUUUAUUUCAUCUUUCCAGAACCGCCGUCAUAUCAUUGACUCGUUUUUGUUUCUGAUUUCCACAAGUGCACCUCAUCACUACAAAAUGGCAUGUAAACAAACAACGAAACGCACCGCUGUUUCUCUUGCUACAAAAAGUUGGAAACUCUUGAAAAAAACCUGAAUCAGACACAAGUCGACUAACAAUUUGGUGUUUCCCGUUCUGGAAGGAAUCACCAUCCCAGAAUGCCACGAUUGAAAUCGCAUCCUGUUCCUCCUCACUCAUCGCCACAUCUUGCUCUGAGACGUCCAGGGCGACCACUGGUGAGGGCGGGGUUGAUCCCUGGCAGGUGCCGAAGGAGGAGCUGGGGUCAGGGCAGGGAGAAGAGCCUGCUGCCUGACCAAGUACUCCAGACCCUGAGCCAUCUGCCUCUUCGGUUCGGAGAUGUCCUUCAUCUGCCUCGAGUGUCUCGACAGUCCUGAUCAAGCUGCCAAUGUAUGAGGUGUGCACCCUUGUUUAGGAUGGUUCUUCAUGUGGGAUUCGGCUUCCUGUACAUGCCAGUAAGGUGUUACAGCAAUGGUCUCAUUUACUCACAAGAAUUUUUUACAAACAUGAACUGACAUACUGUAUAUAAUUAUCAAGGGUGUUCAUAGAGGCUAUAGACAAAUGGUAAAAAUACAUGGUUGUUUUAACUUUUUAGUUUUAAAGAAGAAUAUACCCUUUGUAGCACCUUACCUAUGAAAGAUAGACAAAUUCAUAAGCUACAAGACGUUUUAAUUCUCAUUAUUCCUAAUCACAUCAGUCUCAUAACUUUUCAAAUGAUUAAAAAAAAAAAAAAAAACAGGGUUAUCCAAUUGAAUAAAUGUGUUGAAUUGUGUUUUUAUAUAUAACCUGUUUUGUAUUAGAAAAUUUUUCAGUACUGUCAGCCAAUCAGCUUCCAGCUCUAGUUGGGUUUUAAUAGAUGGUAGAUGUCCGCUGGAACGACUCAGCACCAACUGUCAAUCAAAUUUAAAAUCAAUCCGCCAUGUGCUGGUUUUUUCAUUUUGACUUGCUGUAUUUUUAAGAUUAGUUCACAUUUAUUGGACAGUAAAUAUUAAACAAAGACACAAUUGGUCCAAAUUAAUUUUAUUAUCCACCAAAACCAGCCAAUCAAUACUUUGCAUCGACGAAAGCAACCAAUCCUGUACUUGCAACUGCCGAGAGCCAAUCACCACAGUCAGCUCGACUGGAGCACAGACACAGCAUCUUUCAGCAGCAAAGCGAGACAUGGACAGUUAAGUAAUAUUGCUCCAUUUAUAUAAAGAUUCAGGAGAUAAAGGCUUUGGCUUAAGGUAGAAACAUGGUGAGUUAGGAGGCAUUUAUAGUGGUAUUUAAUGAGGUAUUGUAUUGGUAGUUCAGACUCCAUCGUACACGGACUGUUCAGUAAUUGCUCCAUUCAUUCCUCCAGCAAUGUCCAGAUUAGAAAUAGGGGUUUAAAACCCUAACAAGUUAAUAAACAAUACAAAUCGAUUUCCUAAAUAAAAACAAUUUUUUUUCUCUUUUGGGACUAUUUUCUUAGAACGUCUUUACUCAGCGGAAAGGUACCUGACGAAUCAGUACAAGUUCAAGGAACACAGGAGCGAGGAUACAAGAAGUGACAGAGAGAGCUGCAGGAUCGGAUUGAGGGUUGAUAGUGGGUUUUCUUGUUUUGAUGGGGUGGUCCUGGCCCACACAGGGACUGUUAGUGUGUCACGGAGGGCAUUAAAAAGCUCCACGGAGUGCUGCACCUGCAUCAGUGGUCUGUCUAUUCCUUUAAGAAUCUGAAAAGAAACCCAUGUUCAAAUACAACGACUGUGGUCAUUACAAUAUUGAUUUUCUCUCAUUAUUAUAUACAUGUUUCUCUCAUUAUUAUAUACAUGUAUACUUUGUGACAGUCAGCCCCUUAUACUUUUUACUUACUUUAAGGUUUAACAGUCUUCAUCAUAAAUCCUUCAUUGCCAAGUGGGAGUUUUUUUUUUUUUAUAGAACCUAGUUACAAUUAUUGACAAAACAAAAAGUUUAGUUCAGUCCUCAGUGUCUCCACUGAGCAAUGCUAUCACCAGCAAAUGGUCUCCUCCCACUAGACUUUGGUAUUGGAAUACAAUCUUAAAGUGAAUUGUAUUAUAACUCAUAAAACUUAAUUAGGCACAGACUUCUUGUUUUGCCUGGGUUUUCACAUUUUUUAUCAGCAUUUUUUUUUUUAUCAUGAAGGGGAUUUUUAUGAUAUCCUUUAACCCACUGAUAUUAAGAUGCAAAUUCUGAAAAAAAAAUCCAAUCCAAAAAUAUGGUACUAAUAAUUAUGAACCUCAUGGAUCUUCUCAGCCAACCAGGUUCCCAGUAGAGUUUCCGUUAUCCCACAGGUCUUUAGAAUCUUAAAAGUCGCUUAACACAGUUACGUAAAUGUCUUCUAAUCACCUUCUACUUUGAGAAAUAUCAUUGCAUAAUUCUCCUAUUACCAAUCAUUUGAAUACACAUAGUGAAUAUUGUUGCAGUCAAAUAAAUAUUUACUGACUUGAUUAAUUUUGUAGUCUGUUCCAUACCAAUAUAAUUCAGUUUUCUGUGUUCCCAAACAGCAUGUAAUUACAACCAAAAUAAGGCCAUAAAUCAUCUCCAAACACAUAAGCAAGUCCUCAGAAGAUCUACCCACAGGACAUUGUAACAAAUAUAGUUCAAUCCAAUAGACAUGACACAACAAUGUGCAGUAAAACCCAAGUCCCUAUGUACCUAAUAAUCCCUAAUGUUUAUUUUAGUCAUUUACUCCAGUUAGUACACCUUAAAGUGAAUAUUUAUAUGUGUGGAAGUUGAACAAAACAGAGCUUACCUUGGAGUAAUUUAAUAUUAUUAUUAUUAUUAGUUUAUUUAGCAGACGCCUUUAUCCAAGGCGACUUACAGAGACUAGGGUGUGUGAACUAUGCAUCAGCUGCUGAGUCACUUACAAUUACAUCUCACCCGAAAGACGGAGCACAAGGAGGUUAAGUGACUUGCUCAGGGUCACACAAUGAGUCAGUGGCAGAGGUGGGAUUUGAACCAGUGACCUCCUGGUUACAUGCCCUUUUCUUUAACCACUGGACCACACAGCCUCCUAUUUUCAUUAUUCUCAUUACUUUGAAGAAUUUCAUGACAGGGUAGCCGAGCAGCUCUGUGACAGUAGCCGAGCAGUUAUGAUGUUCCCAGACGGGAGCAGCAGGUAGUCUCCCUCUGUCUCUGGAGACUGGCGCGGCUCUCCCUCGGUCACUGGAGACUGGUGCACCUCUCCCUUUAUCACUGUUUCUUGGGCUCUGCACACAUGGGCUUCCCCUUCCUGGGCUGUGGAUGCUUGGCCUUCCCCCUCUUGGGCACUGGAGAUGCGAGCUUACCCCUCUUGUUCUGUGGAUGCUCCGUCUCCCCCAUCUCGAGUGCUGCAACUCCCUCCUGGCUGGCCUCCCUGCAUCCGCCACCCGUCCGCUCCAGCUCAUGCAGAACUCCGCUGCUCGCCUGGUGUUCUCUCUGCCUUACUUCUCCCACGCAACUCCACUCCUCCGCUCACUCCAUUGGCUCCCAAUCACCGCUCGCAUCCAGUUCAAGACUCUUGUACUCGCACACAGAUGCCUUGACCAGACUGCACCCAGCUACCUCUAGACCCUCAUCUCUCCCUACACCCCCACUCGACCUCUCCGCUCCUCCUGCACUAGAAGACUGGCUCUACCUCCUCUACGCUCCCCUGCCUCCAGAGCCUGCUCCUUCUCCACCCUCGCUCCGCAGUGGUGGAAUGACCUUCCUACAGAUGUCAGGACUGCCCAGUCCCUGACCACCUUCCGGCGCCUCCUCAAGACUCACCUCUUCAGACAGCACCCGUAGAACUCCUCUUUUCCCUCUGGACACUUUAUCACUCUUCCUUAAUGCAAUUUACUUGCUCUUAUCUGCUCCCUAUUUUACUACAUUUAAUCCUGUACUUUACAGAAUAAUGUAAUCUGUCAGAAGUAUUAUAUAAUCAGUAGUAUUUUAUAUUUAAUUAUAUCCUGAUGUAACUAUCACUGACACUGUUAUCUGCUCCACUAUUGAAUUGUAUUUUGUCAUAUACUUGUACUUGCUAGAACCGAAGUCAUUGUAUUUUAUCUUGCUCUUAAUUGUAUUAAUUCUUGUACGGUGAUUCUUGAAAUGUAUUUUUGUUUACGACUUUAAGUCACCCUGGAUAAGGGCGUCUGCUAAGAAAUAAAUAAUAAUAAUAAUCUUGGGUUGUGGACACUCGGGCUCCCCCCUCUUGGGCAGUGGACGCUCUGGCUCCCUCCUCUUGGGCUUUCGAUGCUCGGCCUCCCCCCUCUUGGGCUGUGGACACACAGGCUCCCCCCUCUUGGGCUGUGGACGCCUGGGCUCCCCCCUCUUGGUCGAUGGAUGCUCACACUCCUCCCACUUGGGCAAUGGACGCUCGGGCUCCCCCUCUUGGGCGAUGGACGUUCGGCCUCCCCCCUCUUGGCCGAUAGAUGUUCGGGCUCCUCCAACUUGGGUGUUGGACAAUCGGGCUCUUCAUUCUCCAGGUCCAUGUUUGUGUCCCAGUCUGCCUCCAGGCAGCUGUCCACCUCAUGCCCAUAGCGCAGGCAGUUUGUGCACCACUCCAGAUCUGUGUCUAAAUCCUCUUUCUGCUCUGGGCAGCUGGCCUCCACAUGCCCAUACUCCAUGGAAAUGGAGCACAUUGGUGUACCAGCCCGAGCGAACUGGGACUGCUCCACCUCCCAACGCUCUCGGUGGAUCCGGCCGACCACCUUGUUUAUCCCCUUCAGCUGGACCUCUGGUGGCAUCUGGAUGAAAUCCCGUAGCAUUUCACAAUGCUGGGUCUCCAGGUGUUUUCUCCCUCCAUUUUCAUCCACUGGAGGGUGCUGGGGUCCAAAAGCCAUUUCACGACUACCUACAUGUCUUUCUUCACGCACAAAAAACAUUUAAUAAUCCUUUCCUUCCAAAAAGUAUUUACAAAAAAAUAACUGCCCUGUCCUGGGUCCAUGGAAACACCAGAUCCCAAAGUGGACACCACAUGUGACAGGGUAGCCAAGUGUGAUGACGUUGCCAGACCAGAAAGCUGACAGACACACAGACAGGUACUACGGGUGAAAAGCGCUCAUGUGCCAUUUUUAUUCAAAACUAAAAUAAAAUAAAUAUAAAAAAAACACUGCUCAUAGAACAAAAAUAAAUGUUCUAACAAAAACAAAUCACGAACACAAACUGACACCAAACAAAUACAGUGCUUCCUUCACACGUAGCAAUUGAAUUGAUUUCUUUCAGUUUCGUUUUUACUUUUGUUUCUCUCGCUUUCACAUACCUCCUCCCCCCCCCCCCAGAACAACAAAAGUUGCUGGUUUUUAUACCAGUGACCAUAACAAUAAUUACCACACUCAAACAAUAAACGCCACCAGCCACAUUCUCACAAGCUGGCAGAGACAAGCUGAUACCAUUGCAUCUGCCAGACCACAUCCAAACCAAACAAUAACAAAGAAAAGCAUUGUAUUUUUAAAUAACACAAUAUACAUUCAAAUCAUAAUCAUGCAUCCCCACAAACCAUUCUAUAAAUACACCCACAAAUUCUAAAAUUAACACAAUGCAUUUAAUCAGCAGGGCUUUGCCCUGCCCCCUAUUUACACGCAGGGCUUUUCUGCCUGCCACAGGCUCGUAGAUGCAAUUUAUUAAUUUUUUUAUUUAGGUUGCCCAAUAAUUGUACCUCUGAUUUUCUCCCCAAUUUGAAAUGUCCAGUCAUUUUUACCCUCACCAUAGCAAUUCCCCACACAGCUGAGGAUAAAUGAAGCAAAGCGAUGGUUCAGGCAGGGAACUCACUUUUAAUCAGUCAAUCCAAUCAAGCUUAUUAAGUGUCGAUAACCAGACAAUUGUCAAUUGAAAUAGCAGUACCUUAUCGUUAAUAUAGUGAAUUAAGUAUACGUAUAAUUUAAUUUAAAAAUAAAUAAGUCUCUAGACACCCACCCAGGGAUGCCAAAAUGUAGUGAUAUAUAUAUAUAUAUAUAUAUAUAUAUAUAUAUAUAUAGUGAGAAAGUGUAGUCCUGGGGAGCAAAAGACUACACCUCCCAGAAGGUCACAGGCUGAAAAUCCUUAAUUUCUUUAAUUGUUUAAUUACAUUUGUUAAUUGUGUUAUUAGUAAUUAUCCCCUGCACCUGGCUAUCAUUGUAAAUUAGAGCCAGGUGCAGGGUAUUCAAAAAAAGCAGACAGUCUGUUCUGGGCUGCUGUAUGUGAAGAAGCCCGCUUGACAGUGUGCUCAAGUGUAUUGAGAGACAAAGGCAUUGUGUAAAGCCUUUUUGUGUUAUUUGUUUAAAAACAGUGUGUUUUGUGUUUGUUUGAUUUUUGUUUUAACAGGUAAACAGCUUAGCUGUCCUGUUUGUUAGUUAGGGUCCUAUUUCUGUGUUUUAGUUAGUGCUCAAGAAAAGAGCUAG